GACAUACAUGCUUAAAUAAUUCACACAGUCCUUGAUAGGGAAACCAAAAUGCAAAGAAAAAUUCGAGAGAUGACUAGAGUCGAAAUCCUUUCGAAUUAAUCGUCUCAGCUGAGUGAAAAAUUUACCUGACACUUUUUCACACAGAUUAUUGCUGUAAUUUGUGAAGGUGACACAAAUAAACUUAAAAGAAGCUUUAAAUUUAUCCUGAAAAUGCAGAAAAACUUUUUCCUAGUGGAUUAUAAAAAGGCAAGUGCUUUUGAACGGGAAAAUAUUUCUGUUUUCCAAAGAAAUUAUCGUUGCAAAGUGAAGGUAGGAAAAAAUCAACUAGAAUUGAAUUCUCUAGAGCCGAUCUGAAUUUCGCCUCGCAGGGAACCGUUCUUAGAAAUCACCUUGACGACAGAUCUAUAUUUAAACCUAAUUUUGUAAAUGUUUUUCUCGACAUCGAAAUAUUAGUAGAUCAUCUACAUCAAUGUGAUUUUAUCUCUAAGUUAGCAGUCAUAGAUAAAAGUGGAAGCUGAAAAUUGUUCUUAAAUUGUCCAAGAAAAGCAAGUAGAUAAUACAUCGAAUCGUAGUUUAUCAUGAAUCAUAGUUUGCAUGACCAUACCUUGAUAACGUGAUGUUUAAACAGCUUAUCAAGCAUAGUCAUGCCGCACAGUACUGGUACCUCGCGUUCCACUGCGCAUUACAAAUGGACAACUCUAGCUGUAGGAGACUGCACAGGAGCCGAAAGUGGUUUGACAAGAUACAGUCUUUGUGUCUAGAGCAUUAUGCAUAUAUUACCAGCUAGCUUCCUAAUAGCUCUUUAAUAUUGCAUCAAACUUGAGAGUUGUACAGUCAGAAACUGUACAGAUGUCAAAUCGAUGUAACGCAUAACAAUUUAUGGAAUGCGGGUGUUUUGAUGUUCUAAAGAAAGGAGAGGGAAGCAGCCACAAUCGAGCCAAAAGCCACGAUCUGCAGGCAAAAUAAAUGCUAAAAAAUUUGCUAUCUCAAAUACAACAGGGAUCAUUAUUAAUAUCUGCAGCUGAUGGAAAAUAGAACUAGUUACCAACCCCUUCUUUUUAAUGGAAAGCUUCUCUGUAAAAAUGUACUAGUAAAGGAUCUUCACGGCUAAGAAACUUUACUAGCGAGGUGUUAAAACUCCCAGAAAUUUUAUAUAUUUUUUGAGCCACUGUAGUGAUUCCAUUCAUUCUAAUUUUUCCUCACCUAUCGCCAUCCAUUUUUACUUUGUUUAUUUUACCUACAGUAAUUUCUUCACAUCACUACCUCAUCACUACACUCUACGAGCAUAUCACUAUGUCAACAUUUCCUCUCUUUUGUUUAGGCCAUCAUCAACCCUGCACAUCUACCUAAAUCUCAAUUCAUAAACUAUUCACACUUAGCCUAGCCCUUCCUAUCCUUUGUUUUCCUUACAUCAUUCGCGUUAAUUUUAGAUAUUCAUUUCUGUAUAUAAGCAUGUUAAUUUUUAUGUAAUUCAGUUCAGUUCAGUUCACAUCAGAGUUACACAGGCAA